rnacentral:rRNA from 2 species
AGACCCGAAACCCGGUGAUCUAGCCAUGGGCAGGUUGAAGGUUGGGUAACACUAACUGGAGGACCGAACCGACUAAUGUUGAAAAAUUAGCGGAUGACCUGUGGCUGGGGGUGAAAGGCCAAUCAAACCGGGAGAUAGCUGGUUCUCCCCGAAAGCUAUUUAGGUAGCGCCUCGUGAAUUCAUCUCCGGGGGUAGAGCACUGUUUCGGCUAGGGGGCCAUCCCGGCUUACCAACCCGAUGCAAACUGCGAAUACCGGAGAAUGUUAUCACGGGAGACACACGGCGGGUGCUAACGUCCGUCGUGAAGAGGGAAACAACCCAGACCGCCAGCUAAGGUCCCAAAGUCAUGGUUAAGUGGGAAACGAUGUGGGAAGGCCCAGACAGCCAGGAUGUUGGCUUAGAAGCAGCCAUCAUUUAAAGAAAGCGUAAUAGCUCACUGGUCGAGUCGGCCUGCGCGGAAGAUGUAACGGGGCUAAACCAUGCACCGAAGCUGCGGCAGCGAACGUAUCACCCAAGACAACUUUACGGAGUUGACGAUUGACGGAGCGAAGCGACGUCAAAGCGUUCAUUAAAGUCGAGU